rnacentral:snoRNA from 1 species
UGACGGUGGUGAUGAUCAUGGCAGUUGUCAUUUUCCUGAACUCAACCGUGUUGGCUUUCAGUCACUACCUCUUCUGAACCGUCA